UUUGACAUAAUAGUUUUCUGGUAACUUUCAGACCAAGGCCAAACCGAAUUGUCAGGUGGUUAGUGCAAUGGAAAGCUGGCAAACCGUAUGAGUAUACCAUCUUGUAGUACUCUUUACCAGCUUUCCAAUGCACUAACGAUCUGACAAUUCCGUUCAGCCGUUUUUGUCGGAAAGUUACCGGAAAACUAUUAUGUU